UACGUAGGUGGCGAGCGUUAUCCGGAUUUACUGGGUGUAAAGGGAGUGCAGACGGAACUGUAAGUCUGAUGUGAAAGCCCGGGGCUCAACCGCGGGACUGCAUUGGAAACUGUAGAUCUGGAGUGCCGGAGGGGCAAGCGGAAUUCCUGGUGUAGCGGUGAAAUGCGUAGAUAUCAGGAGGAACACCGGCGGCGAAGGCGGCUUGCUGGACGGCAACUGACGUUGAGGCUCGAAAGCGUGGGGAGCAAACAGGAUUAGAUACCCCGUA
rnacentral:rRNA from 1 species